rnacentral:rRNA from 1 species
GAUGAACGCUGGCGGCGUGCCUAAUACAUGCAAGUCGAACGAACAGACGAGGAUCUUGCUCCUCUAACGUUUGCCGCAGACGUGUGAGAAACACGUGGAUAACCUACCUAUAAGACUGGGAUAACUUCGGGACAACGGAUCUAAUACCAGAUACUAUAGUUAACCCAAUGGUUCAAUAGUGAAAGACGAUUUUGCUGUGAAUUAGAGAUGCGUCCGCGCCGCAUGAUAUAGUUGGUAAGGUAACGGCUUACCAAGGCCACUAUGCGUAGCCCCCCGGAAAGGGUGAUCGGCCACACUGGAAGUGAGACACGGUCGAGACUCUUAGGCUGGGCCGCAGCAGGGACUCUUCCGCAAGGGGCGAAAGGCUGAUGGAGCAACGUCGCGUGAGUGAUGAAGGUCUUAGGCUGGUAAAAGUCUGUUAUUAGGGAAAAAGAAAUGUGUAAGUAACGAUGAAGGUCUUGACGGUACCUAAUAAGAAAGCCACGGCUAACUACGUG